rnacentral:rRNA from 1 species
UACGUAGGAUGCAAGCGUUGUCCGGAAUUAUUGGGCGUAAAGAGCGCGCAGGCGGUCUAUCAAGUCAGAUGUGAAAUAUCCCGGCUUAACCGGGAGGGGUCAUUUGAAACUGGUAGACUAGAGUACAGCAGAGGAUAGUGGAAUUCCCGGUGUAGUGGUGAAAUGCGUAGAUAUCGGGAGGAACACCAGUGGCGAAGGCGACUAUCUGGGCUGAAACUGACGCUGAGGCGCGAAGGCUAGGGGAGCAAACA